rnacentral:rRNA from 1 species
GACGAACGCUGGCGGCGUGCUUAACACAUGCAAGUCGAACGAAGAGCGAUGGAAGCUUGCUUCUAUCAAUCUUAGUGGCGCACGGGUGUGUAACGCGUAAUCAACCUGCCCUUCCGAGGGGGACAACAGUUGGAAACGACUGCUAAUACCGUAUACGAUCUAAUCUCGGCAUCGAGGAUAGAUGAAAGGUGGCCUCUACAUGUAAGCUAUCACUGAAGGAGGGGAUUGCGUCUGAUUAGCUAGUUGGAGGGGUAACGGCCCACCAAGGCGAUGAUCAGUAGCCGGCCUGAGAGGAUGAACGGCCACAUUGGGACUGAGACACGGCCCAGACUCCUACGGGAGGCAGCAGUGGGGAAUCUUCCGCAAUGGACGAAAGUCUGACGGAGCAACGCCGCGUGAGCGAUGACGGCCUUCGGGUUGUAAAGCUCUGUUAAUCGGGACGAAAGGCCUUCUUGCGAAUAGUGAGAAGGAUUGACGGCACCGGAAUAGAAAGCCACGGCUAACUACGUG